rnacentral:lncRNA from 1 species
AUAACCCUUUCUUCAGACACACACUCCCAUCUCAUGUGUCUCUAGCAAAAUAUCACCUAAAGCUACCCUCUGACUCUUCUCUUUGACAUUUGUACAACUUCACCAAGCACUAACACACCUAUGAGAGGCCACUGGCCCUUGUUUCCAGCCUCGGAAUUCUCCAGGAAUCCUGUGUGGAGGAGAGAGGACCUGUAUACAGUCUGAAUAUCACCCUCUGGAAAUAGUCCUCCCAGGACACACAUUGCCUUAAAGGUUUACUUAAAAGAGCCUAGGAAGAAUAAAAAAGAAUGAUUAAGAAGAGAAAUGAAAAUAGAGGAAAGAGGAUGCACGCUGAGGAACAGUUAUGAACUGGAAGACGGCAGAGCUGCCGGGAUGUGCCUGGAGCCGG